UGUGGAGGGCUGGCAAGGCUGAGUCUGGAGAGUGAGACUCAGGGACCAGCAGCCUCCUGAAAGCAAAGGGAUGGAGAGAGCAGCCCUGCCUGCAGCCAACCCAGGGCUCACUGCGCCAUCCCACACUG
ensembl:scaRNA